rnacentral:rRNA from 1 species
AAGUUGUUGCGGUUAAAAAGCUCGUAGUUGGAUCUGUGUGACACGCUGUCGGUUCACUGUUUUGAUGGUGUUUAACUGACAUGUCGUGGCACGUCCUGCCGGUUGGUAACGUGUUCUCCUUUCGGGGUGUUAUGCGUUUACCAGUUCCAAUCCUGUCGCGGUGCUCUUCACCGAGUGUCGAGGCGGGCCGGCACGUUUACCUUGAACAAAUUUGAGUGCUUAAAGCAGGCUUAUAUUGCCGGAAAACUGUGUGCAUGGAAUAAUAUAAUAGGACUUCGGUUCUAUUUUGUUGGUUUUCAGAAUCCGAGGUAAUGAUUAAAAGGGCCUGGCGGGGGCAUUAGUAUUGCGACGUGAGAGGUGAAAUUCUUGGACCGUCGCAAGACUAACUGAAGCGAAAGCGUUUGCCAAGAAUGCUUCCAUUAAUCAAGAACGAAAGUUAGAGGUUCGAAGGCGAUCAGAUACCGCCCUAGUUCUAACCAUAAAUGAUGCCAGCCAGCGAUCCGUCGUCGCUCUUUUAUGACGUGACGGGCAGCUUCAGGGAAACUAAAGCUUUUGGGUUCCGGGGGAAGUAUGGUUGCAAAGCUGAAACUUAAAGGAAUUGACGGAAAGGCACCACCAGGAGUGGAGCCUGCGGCUUAAUUUGACUCAACACGGGAAAUCUCACCAGGCCAGAACACCAGGUGGAUUGACAGAUUGAGAGCUCUUUCUUGAUUUGGUGGG